UACGUAGGGGGCAAGCGUUGUCCGGAAUUAUUGGGCGUAAAGCGCGCGCAGGCGGCUUCUUAAGUCUGAUGUGAAAGCCCACGGCUCAACCGUGGAGGGUCAUUGGAAACUGGGAAGCUUGAGUGCAGAAGAGGAGAGUGGAAUUCCACGUGUAGCGGUGAAAUGCGUAGAUAUGUGGAGGAACACCAGUGGCGAAAGCGGCUCUCUGGUCUGUAACUGACGCUGAGGUGCGAAAGCGUGGGGAGCAAACAGG
rnacentral:rRNA from 1 species